GACGAACGCUGGCGGCGUGCCUAAUACAUGCAAGUAGAACGCUGAAGGAGGAGCUUGCUUCUCUGGAUGAGUUGCGAACGGGUGAGUAACGCGUAGGUAACCUGCCUGGUAGCGGGGGAUAACUAUUGGAAACGAUAGCUAAUACCGCAUAAGAGUAGAUGUUGCAUGACAUUUGCUUAAAAGGUGCAAUUGCAUCACUACCAGAUGGACCUGCGUUGUAUUAGCUAGUUGGUGAGGUAACGGCUCACCAAGGCAACGAUACAUAGCCGACCUGAGAGGGUGAUCGGCCACACUGGGACUGAGACACGGCCCAGACUCCUACGGGAGGCAGCAGUAGGGAAUCUUCGGCAAUGGACGGAAGUCUGACCGAGCAACGCCGCGUGAGUGAAGAAGGUUUUCGGAUCGUAAAGCUCUGUUGUAAAGAGAAAGAAACGAGUGUGAGGAGUGGAAAAGUUCCACCACUG
rnacentral:rRNA from 1 species